rnacentral:rRNA from 3 species
CCUGGCGGCUUUAGCGCGGUGGUCCCACCUGACCCCAUGCCGAACUCAGAAGUGAAACGCCGUAGCG